AUUGAACGCUGGCGGCAUGCUUUACACAUGCAAGUCGAACGGUAACAGGCCUUCGGGUGCUGACGAGUGGCGAACGGGUGAGUAAUGCAUCGGAACGUACCCAGAGGUGGGGGAUAACGCAGCGAAAGCUGUGCUAAUACCGCAUGUGAUCUGAGGAUGAAAGCGGGGGACCGAGCAGCAAUGUUUGGCCUCGCGCCUUUGGAGCGGCCGAUGUCGGAUUAGCUAGUUGGUGGGGUAAAGGUCUACCAAGGCGACGAUCCGUAGCUGGUCUGAGAGGACGACCAGCCACACUGGGACUGAGACACGGCCCAGACUCCUACGGGAGGCAGCAGUGGGGAAUUUUGGACAAUGGGCGCAAGCCUGAUCCAGCAAUGCCGCGUGCGGGAAGAAGGCCUUCGGGUUGUAAAUCGCUUUUGGCAGGAACGAAACGGUGUCCGCUAAUACCGGGCGCUAAUGACGGUACCUGCAGAAUAAGCACCGGCUAACUACGUG
rnacentral:rRNA from 1 species